CAGUCGAACGGGAAGAGAUGAAGAGCUUGCUCUUUAUCGAAUCCAGUGGCAAACCGUUUGAGUAACACGUAAACAACCUGCCUUCAGGAUGGGGACAACAUACGGAAACGACUGCUAAUACCGAAUACGUUCCACGGGCCGCAUGACCUGUGGAAGAAAGGGUAGCCUCUACCUGUAAGCUAUCGCCUGAAGAGGGGUUUGCGUCUGAUUAGGCAGUUGGUGGGGUAACGGCCCACCAAACCAACGAUCAGUAGCCGGUCUGAGAGGAUGAACGGCCACACUGGAACUGAGACACGGUCCAGACUCCUACGGGAGGCAGCAGUGGGGAAUCUUCCGCAAUGGACGAAAGUCUGACGGAGCAACGCCGCGUGAGUGAAGACGGCCUUCGGGUUGUAAAGCUCUGUGAUCCGGGACGAAAGAGCCUGAGGUGAAUAGCCUAAGGAAGUGACGGUACCGGAAAAGCAAGCCACGGCUAACUACGUGCCAGCAGCCGCGGUAAUACGUAGGUGGCAAGCGUUGUCCGGAAUUAUUGGGCGUAAAGCGCGCGCAGGCGGCUUCCUAAGUCCAUCUUAAAAGUGCGGGGCUUAACCCCGUGAUGGGAUGGAAACUGGGAAGCUGGAGUAUCGGAGAGGAAAGUGGAAUUCCUAGUGUAGCGGUGAAAUGCGUAGAGAUUAGGAAGAACACCGGUGGCGAAGGCGACUUUCUGGACGAAAACUGACGCUGAGGCGCGAAAGCGUGGGGAGCAAA
rnacentral:rRNA from 1 species